GACGAACGCUGGCGGCGCGCUUAACACAUGCAAGUCGAGCGAAGCGGCGGACGGGUGAGUAACACGUGAGUAACCUGCCUUAGACAUUGGGAUAGCCUCGGGAAACCGGGAUUAAUACCAAAUGGUCUAAGAUGGACUCGCGUCCCCUUAGCUAGUUGGUGAGGUAACGGCCCACCAAGGCGACGAUGGGUAGCCUGCCUGAGAGGCUGAACGGCGACAUUGGAACUGAGAAACGGUCCAACCUCUACGGGAUGCAGCAGUGGGGAAUAUUGCACAAUGGCGGGAACUCUGAUGCAGCGACGCCGCGUGAACUAAGAAGUCUUUCGAGUCGUAAAGUUCUUUUAUCUGGGAAGCGGUACCAUAAGAAAAAGCCCCGGCUAACUACGUGCCAGCAGCCGCGGUAAUUC
rnacentral:rRNA from 1 species